AGAAUCAACGCUGGCGGCGUGCCUAACACAUGCAAGUCGAACGCGAAAUCCCCGCAAGGGGACGUAGCGUGGCAAACGGGUGAGUAACGCGUGGGCGACCUACCCUCGAGUGGGGGAUAACCUUCCGAAAGGAGGGCUAAUACCGCAUGACAUCCCGUGUUUGGAUACACGGAGAUCAAAGCCGGGGAUCGUAAGACCUGGCGCUUGAGGAGGGGCCCGCGUCCGAUUAGCUAGUUGGUGGGGUAACGGCUCACCAAGGCUCCGAUCGGUA
rnacentral:rRNA from 1 species